AGCGGGCACUCUUCCGUGGUCUGGUGGAUAAAUUCGCAAGGGUAUCAUGGCGGACGACCGGGGUUCGAACCCCGGAUCCGGCCGUCCGCCGUGAUCCAUGCGGUUACCGCCCGCGUGUCGAACCCAGGUGUGCGACGUCAGACAACGGGGGAGCGCUCCU
rnacentral:ncRNA from 1 species